GAUGAACGCUGGCGGCGUGCUUAACACAUGCAAGUCGAACGGAAAGGCUCCUGCUUGCAGGGGUACUCGAGUGGCGAACGGGUGAGUAACACGUGGGUGAUCUGCCCUGCACUUCGGGAUAAGCCUGGGAAACUGGGUCUAAUACCGGAUAGGACGAUGGUUUGGAUGCCAUUGUGGAAAGUUUUUCGGUGUGGGAUGAGCUCGCGGCCUAUCAGCUUGUUGGUGGGGUAAUGGCCUACCAAGGCGUCGACGGGUAGCCGGCCUGAGAGGGUGUACGGCCACAUUGGGACUGAGAUACGGCCCAGACUCCUACGGGCGGCAGCAGUGGGGAAUAUUGCACAAUGGGCGCAAGCCUGAUGCAGCGACGCCGGGUGGGGGAUGACGGCCUUCGGGUUGUAAACUCCUUUCGCUAGGGACGAAGCGCAAGUGACGGUACCUGGAGAAGAAGCACCGGCUAACUACGU
rnacentral:rRNA from 1 species